ensembl:lncRNA
GUAAAAACGCAAUAGAAAACUUCUUUAUUAGAGUUCAUGUCGCGUAGGAGGAAAAUAAUCCGUGCUGCAGCCAAAAAGUAGCUUCGACCGAGGUUUUAUUAUGGACCGUCUACCUCUGCGGUAUUAGCAGCUAGUUGUAUAGAUUAAAAAUAGUUCUCUUAGCCAUUUAGUUCAUCUUCCUUGUGUUUUGGUUUAUUUACUCAUCUAAUAAAUUAAGCUUUUGCCUUUUAUUGUGGUCAAAAUCGGUCGGCAGAUAGUGAGAUCAAACUGAUUUUGUCAGCAUUCAAGCUAGACAAAGCGCCGGUUUACGUUAAUUGCGUAGAGAAGAGUGCUAUUUGCUCACCACGAAUCUAGCGGUGAGUUAGCUGACCUAGUUAAUAAAGCAGCUGAUUUCAGUAUUGUGUAGCCUGGGUCGGUUAUAUAAAGCAUUACAAAUUCAUAUAGUGUGUUAAUAUACUAAACCGAAAUAAUUGAUUGCAUGCAGUUAUAACGCUGAUUACUUGUACUAACGCUAUAAGACGUGCAGGAAGACUAAAUGGACGGAGCUCCAGUGGCGCAAUCGGUUAGCGCGCGGUACUUAUACAGCAGUACAAUGCAGAGCAAUGCCGAGGUUGUGAGUUCGAGCCUCACCUGGAGCACAGCUUUUGGAAACCGAAUUGCUUGUUUUUUGAGUUAUUUCUGUUUGUUGGAUCUUACAUGAUGCAGUAAUGACUUCAAAUAUCCUAUUACCCCACAGGACUGGUGGAGGCCAGGAUACAAUUAACAUGAGAUCAGUGGAAAGCAAUGUCUGUGCCGAGAAAGGAGCUGCAUUGAGCAGAACAAACAUUAACACACUGGAGCUGGGAACUCGGGGCACAAGGCGGGGAAGACUCUGGACAGGGUGCCAACCCAUCGCAGGGCACAAUCGCACCCAUGUUCACACACCCAUUCAUACACUACGAACAAUUUGGAAAUGCCAGUCAGCCUACAACGCAUGUCUUUGGACUGGGUGAGGAAACCGGAGUACGGAGAGGAAACCAUAAUGCACAGGGAGCUCAUACAAACUCCG